GGGUGAAGCCUGCGGUUCUGGGAUCAACGCCGGAACCCUACCGGCGGAAGCAGAGUGAAGGUCAAGCUGAAGACUUUAAACACUGAAGAAGGUGCAUGGCCGUCGCGUGGGGGAGGUGUCGUUAAGUCAGGUAACGCGAGAUCCCGCCUCUAGUUGCUACCAUUAUUCUCAGGAGUAGUGGAGCUAAUUAGAGGGACCGCCGUCGCUGAGACGGAGGAAGGUGGGGGCUACGGCAGGUCAGUAUGCCCCGAAACCCUCGGGCCACACGCGGGCUGCAAUGGUAAGGACAAUGAGUUUCGAUUCCGAAAGGAGGAGGCAAUCUCUAAACCUUACCACAGUUAUGAUUGAGGGCUGAAACUCGCCCUCAUGAAUAUGGAAUAGUAACCGCGUGUCACUAUCGCGCGGUGAAUACGUCCCUGCUCCUUGCACACACCGCCCGUAAUCACUAUGAAUUCCGGCC
rnacentral:rRNA from 1 species